rnacentral:rRNA from 1 species
UGUAGCGCCCCCCCAUUACAGGUACACCCUGCCCAGUGUUAUUAUCAACGGCCGCGGUACCCUGACCGUGCAAAGGUAGCAUAAUAAUUUGCCUCUUAAUUGGAGGCUAGUAUGAAAGGGCAAACGAGAAUAAGACUGUCUCACUCAUACCCAUAAAAAUCUAUCUUCAGGUGAAGAAGCCUGAAUUAAUAUAAAAGACAAGAAGACCCUGUCGAGCUUUAGCAUACUAUAUGAGCCUUACGCCCAUCCACACCUUCCCUCAUAUCCAGGCUUUUGUUGGGGCGACAACGGAACCUAUCAAUCUUCCGUUAAAAUACAGACCUUACGUCACCCAAAUGAUCCUUUACUGAUCACAAGAUCUAGCUACCGCAGGGAUAACAGACUAAUCUUCCUCCGGAGCCCAAAUCUACAGGAAGGCUUGGCACCUCGAUGUUGGCUUAGGAAAAUCCCCUAGAUGAAGCAGUCUAGGAAGUGGGUUUGUUCAACCCUUAAUAUCCUACA